GGCGGGGUAGGUCUUACGAGUUUACACUCCCAAACCCCUGUGAACAUACCAUUCUGUUGCCUCGGCGGAUCACCGCGCCCCGUAAAACGGGACGGCCCGCCAGAGGACCCAAACCCUAUGUCUUUAUGUGUAUCUUCUGAGUAACACUAUAAAUAAAUCAAAACUUUCAACAACGGAUCUCUUGGUUCUGGCAUCGAUGAAGAACGCAGCGAAAUGCGAUAAGUAAUGUGAAUUGCAGAAUUCAGUGAAUCAUCGAAUCUUUGAACGCACAUUGCGCCCGCCAGUAUUCUGGCGGGCAUGCCUGUUCGAGCGUCAUUUCAACCCUCAAGCCCCCGGGUUUGGUGUUGGGGAUCGGCACAACGGCCUCGCCAGAGGACGCGCCGGCCCCUAAAUCUAGUGGCGGUCUCGCUGCAGCCUCCAUUGCGUAGUAGCUAACACCUCGCAACUGGAACGCGGCGCGGCCAAGCCGUUAAACCCCCAACUUUUUCUGAAUGUUGACCUCGGAUCAGGUAGGAAUACCCGCUGAACUUAAGCAUAUCAAUAAGCGGAGGAA
rnacentral:rRNA from 1 species